rnacentral:rRNA from 1 species
UCCACAGCAUUUAGCUGUGAGGUUUUGGUGGAUUCGGGAAUUGUGAGACAGGUGUGCCAUGUCCAAUGUCAGCUAGGACAUGAAAUAUGGGGUUAAGUUGCUCAACGAGCGCAACCCUCUCCUAUAUGCCAGCGAGCAGGCCGGGAACUCAAAUGAGAAGGCCCGUGAUAAAUUGGAGGAAGGUGGGGAUUCCUCAAGUCAUCAUGUGGCAGUCGACCAGGGUUACCCACGUGAUACAAGGCCACAACAAUAAGAGCGCCCUCGCGAGAGCAAGCGGACCUCCAAAAGUAACACGAGUCCGGGACAGACUUGCAACCUCGGUUUCACGAAGUCGGAAGGCAUAGAAAUCAUAGAUCAGAA